UCAUAGCNGCAAUCAAACUAUUUUGUAAACUUUCGUGUGAAUUUGAUUCCGUAAUUUAAGUUCAAAGCGCUCCACUCGAAACACUCUAGAGUCUCGAGUAAAGAGUGAAAGCGAGUGGCAUUGUUUUCGCUGNCUCAUUAACUGUGAUUGUUUCACUCUAUACUCGAAACUCGCGGUCCAUAUCGAGUUCGAGUACUCGAGAAUGGAUGGUACUUUACUCGAGACCGGUACUGUAAAGUAUAAACUGAAAAAUUUAUGUAGGGUCAGCAUGCCACAAGAAACUAACAGAUAUGAUAAGUAGACCACGGCUACUUGCUGCAAUUCGCAAGCUUUCAAAAUAUCACCAAACGUCUGAACUGGAAGCAAAGCAUUCCUUGGAUAAUUUGCUUGCUCCAAAAAACACGUACUUUUCAUAUCAUUCCCUCAGUGCAAGAUUGUUUUGUUCAAACUUACAUUACAACGAAAACAGUUCACGAAAUCAAGCAAAAACACUUGAUGGAAAGCUCAAGUGGACCAUCAAUUUUCCAAAAGCAUCAAAAGGGGAAAAGGCUGUUGCAAAGUCACUGAAAGAAGAACCAAGCUAUGGUAUUUAUGUAUACCCGGCUUAUUGUAAGAUAAGUGUUUUGUAAAAUAUGCUCUAACUACGCGUAGCUUGCGUAGCAUACCUCAUAUUCUUAGGUUACUUUUGGAGAUUUCGUUUUCAAAAUUAUAGUGGCGGUGGUCUACUGACUUCCUUAUACACANUGGGCCGGGUUUUUCAAGCUACAAUUAGCGCUAAUCCUGGAUUAACUCUUAUUAUAUUACUGAANAUCUAUCAUAGUACGCGCUCUCUGAUUGGUGAAAUGUUAUUGUUUAUUUCACCGGGAAAUGCAUGGAUGCAAAAAUGCUAUAAUAUAAAAGCAAUAAACAACACAUUUGUGUGCGUUCCUGGUAAAAUUAACCACUUAGGAUACUUGGGAAACCACUCAAAAGGCAUUAAACGUUGUGGCGUAGUGAGCAUAUUUUUGGUACAUGUAUAUGUAUGUAUCAUCGGCACUAAGCGUCGUGGUGCAGGGCGGAGUGAGCGUUGGGGCGUAGUACGUAGGGGUGUACUGAGAGUAGUGGCGUAUCUUGUAGUGGCGUAGUGAGCGUAGGGGCGUAGUGGCGUAGCCCGAAGUGGCAUAGUGAGCGUANNGGCGUAGUGGCGUAGCCCGAAGUGGCAUAGUGAGCGUAAUGGCGUAGCCCAUAGGGGCGUAGUGGCGUAGAGAGCGUAGGGGCGCAGUGAGCGUAGGGGCGUGUAGUGGCGUAGCCCGUAGUGAGCGUAGUGCGUAGUUUAAUAUUAAUGUCCAUUUCCAUUUCUUUAUUGUCAUUGAUUGUUGCUCUGAUAAUGAUGAUGAUAUAAUUGUUUAAGAUUCAUUUUUACCAUGAUUUCUUUUCCCAACAAUACUUGAGAACGCUUGAACUGUACUAGUAACAGUACUGCUAUGCACAUUUGGGNUCUGGUUAAAAUUCAUGGUUUGUUGAUUACCAUCUGUCAGAUUGUUGUCACCAACCAGCUGUGACUCUUCAUCACUGACUUCUGUAUCAUCAGCUACAUCACAAACCUGACUACAUGNACACUUAGCAGAAUUCACCAUCUGUCGUUCUAAUUCUUUUACUUUCUCUUGGGCAGCAUGGCAUCUUUUUUUUUCUAGGCUUAGUUGGUGAAGUAGGUCUUUAUUUUCUUUUUGAAUUUGUAGAAGCUGUUUUCUUAGGGUGUGGGUUGUUUCAGCACUUGUUGUCUCUUGAUCUUCUAACUCUUCAGUAAAUUCUUCACCACAUGCUUUAGUACAUAAAGUAAGAAAGAGAUACUCUUAAUUGAAAGAAACACCUUUUAAAGAAAUUUUCACUUAAAGAAGUUUAUAAAUAUUACAAAAUAUGUAAUUAAUGACUUAUACAAAAGUAUUAAGGAAAGACAAAGCUUAGUCUCAUUGCAUUCCGUUGUCACUUCUACAUGUAUGUUUCGACAAAAAUAUGCAAUUUGUUUUGUGAGUUAAUUAAUGCAACAAUAGUUAGUCUAAACUUGUUUAUUUAUGACAAAUGUACAUUGUAGCUUACCUUUAUCAAUAACUGUAAGCACCUUCAUAGGAAUAUGUUGUUGUGGUAUUUUCACACAGCGGCGCUGUGUGCCAUUGAACAGAGCUGAGUGGUCAACUGAUGCUCCAGAAAUCUUACUUAUAUCUUUCCUUAAUUUGGUAAGGCUAAAGAAGCCCUCCAAUUGCCCAACUUUCUCUUUAAUGAACUCCAANAUUUCUGGCAAUAUCAGGUACAUGCAUUGACCAUUCCUGGUUUUGAUGUUUGGUUUUAAAAACUUUUCCAAUCUCUAAAAAAAUUCAAUUAAAACAUUAGCUNAUGCGAAAAUAUACUGUGCUUUAAGUCCUAAUCCAAAAUACACUGAGAUUGAGAACUGCAUGACUUCUCUGAAAAUCAGAAUUGGGUCAAUUAGUUUUCCUUUUUUUACAUUUUUGUACCAGAGGGAUAUUUCAGCUCUGAAGCUCAUCUGCUAAUUAUCUGAUCAUCCACCAUGUUUUCCAAAGAUGUUUCAAGGCACUGACAAAAGUGUNUGAAGUCCCCAGAUUCUUUCAGAUCUGUGCUGCUCCUUACCACGUUUCUAACAUAUGGCAGAAAGAUCUCAUCUAGAUAUGAUUCGUAUCCAGCAAUAGUUAUUACAGCAUUUACUUCCUGGUCAUCAUCAUCAUCGUCACUGAGCAUUUCCAGCUGAUAUUCGUUGAUANUCUGAAAUUUGCACAUAUUUAUAUAAAUUCACAUGAAUUUUUACUGCUAAUAGCUGAGUAAUGUAACUUAUAUUGUGAACCUUUGUGAGGUAAUUAAACCUGGGUACAAACUAAAAAAUUCAUUGACCCAUUAGAAUGAAUUAAACUCUUUUAUAAGGAUUUUUUAAUUUUUUAAGAUUAACAAAACCUAGUAACNUAACCAUAACAUAAGAUGAAAUAAGAUGAAAUUUCAUCUGAUUUGAAAUUAUAAUUAUUAAACUGUAUGCAAUUGUUACCAGUUCAGUUCAGUUUUAUCGAUUAUGUAUAUAUUGCAAUACCUCAUGGACAAUGGCUUUGUAUAAACCAUACAAUUUAUGCAUAAGAGGUGGCAGAUUUGGGUCUUUAUCUUUAAAAAAAUUUAUCUGGUCAUCUACAAGGUUAGGGUUGUGCCAUAAGUGUGCUCCCAUCCUUAUGAUNCUUGGGAUGCAUGCUGUUGUUGCAGCAGUGAAGGCAGCUUCCUUGGCUUCUCUGUAUGCUUUUGGGUCCUUUGGUGACUCUGGUUGUCGAUAGACAAUUGGUACAAUUCUUUCAAAAGACCUAAAUUAUAACCAGAAAAAAUAAAUAAAAACAUGAAAUUUGAAUAUAAGCNCAUCCCAAGUUAUAACAUACUGGCUUUAUUUUAUAUAGGCUUAUUUCUUGGGUAUUCAAAAUAUUCAAAUAUUCAAUAUUCAAAACACCUUGGAUUCUUCACUUGAAGUGUGACAAAGUCGAGUAAAUGAACAAUGCAAAUUAGCAUCGCGUUACCAAAACAACUCCAAGACAAAACAAUUAUUGAAAAUGCUAUCUGUUCAUUGGCUCAAUAACCAUGCACUUUUCAGUUUGAUUUAUUGACUUGUGUUUCUCAGAGCUAGAUUUUCGGAGAAUUUAUAGUAAUACUGAGAAGUUUGAAUUAAAAUUUCUGUUCCCGCCGUGUUAACUUAUCACAUUACUGAUGUCCUGUCUGCAGUAAGUAGCACCGUCGAUUUGGGAACAAUUUUUUUAAAAAAGUGUGCCUUAUACAUCNGUAAAUACGGUAUUAUAAUUAUUUGUUUCUAAACAAUUGCUAGUAAUACCUUAAAUCNUCAUCCAAUUCAAAAUUCACAGCAAGAAUAACAUUAGUUAGAGGAACCUCUUUCCCUCUCCCUUUUGUCCUUUUCCCUUUUGAGUCAAGGACCCCGCCAGGACAGAUCUUACAGUUGACGGAUAGGUUGGGUCAUCCCAACAAAGGGGAAUANUACUCUUCCAUAAAAGGGACUGUAUCACUUCACUGGUUGCUUGAGAUUCAACCUUUGAGCCAAGCAUCUUUGAGAUAAGAUCUAUUGUUGUUGAUUUUCCUGAACCAGGUUCACCAAUGGCCAUUGGUGCUGGGCAAGCAUCUAUAAAUGAAAAAUACAUAUUAUUAGUUACNCUUGAGUACUCCAGUUUUGAAUACAUAACGACAAAUGGCUGCUUUAUCUAACAAAAUGUUUGUGUGCAAGGACCUGACCUGACCAACACAAAUAAGCAUUAGAGAAAAUGUCGUUUUUACAACAGCCUUGGAAAUUUGCAUUUUCCCCGAGUUGAAGCCAACCAUAUACCAACCAUAUGGUAUUCCCAUAAGGCCUAAUGUAGGAAACUGUAGGGAUUAUACAGGGUUAGCACCAUUGUACUUAAAGCAUUUAAUUUUCUUGUGCUUUCUUUUGUGUUUGGUAAGUUCUUUGCAUUGAGAAUCUGCUGUCAAAGAAAUUAACUGUNGUUAUUGCUUUGAAUUAGAAAAUGGUGUAUUCUCGAUAUUGAAAUAUUUGUAAAAUUUUAUUUGACUUCCAAUUUCAAUAUAACACUAAUAGUCCCUAGGGCAUUUGUAAGAGUCAACUGUAUUCAUGCCUAUAAUAAUAUAUUACAGACAAUAAUGUUAAUGUUUGUAAGCAAAGACUUUAUUCAGUCAGUAGAGUCAGAAAUAAAAAAUUUUAUUUGGAAUGAAAAAAAAAUAAAAUAAAAUAAAGCAUGGAACUUUAAUUGGAGAUUACGAAAAAGGGGGCUUGAAGAUGCCUGAUUUCCAAUGUCAAUUGAAAGGGAAACAAGUUAGCCUUUUCCUUAAUUUUANAAAACAUAAUAACAUCGAUAAAGAGUUUACGCUAAUACCAGACUUGAAUCUUAAAGAAAUUGGAGGUUAAGCAAAUAUAUCCAUGAAUUUUGACAUUAAAAGAAACCAAAAUCAGCUACACCCUUUUUAACGCAAAUUUUAACAGCAUGGUCGGAGUAUUCAAAAUCAACUCCAGAUGAUAAUGUAAUAGCUAUUCUGAACCAACCUUUGUGGAAUAACAGACUGAUUAAAAUUGAAAACACGUCUAUUUUCUAUAAGUCGUUCUCUAAACUUAAUAUUAAUAAGAUCUCAGAUUUGUGCAAUACAAAUGGUCAGCUUUCGUGGGAGCAAGCAAAGUCAAAAGGUCUACAAGAAAAAGACUUCCUACGAUGGGCAGGAAUAAUUCAUGCAAUACCAAAAUCAUGGAAAAGGCUAUUGAUUCAAAAAACUGAAGAAAUUAAUAAAGUUAAUUAUCAAGCUGAUGAGAAAAUGUUUGUAAAUGAUAAACUUAUUUCUAUUGAUAAUGUUAAGACCAAGGAUAUAUAUAUAAGUUUUUUUUGAAUGAGAAAAUGUCAAAACCUACAGCGCAAUAUAAUUUGAGUAAAAGAAUUUUAGAUAAUAAUAACGAUGACCAAGAGAUAAAAUGGGAUAAAGUGUAUAGACGUAUUUAUACAAGCACAAUUGAUACUUAUUUAAGAAUGUUCCAGUAUAAAAUUUUNAAUAACGUUCUAUAUCUGAAUUUUGAUUUACACCGAUUUAAGAUAAUUGAAGAUUCCUCGUCUUCUUUAUGCCAUGUAUAUCCUGAAACGGUAGAUCAUUUUUUCGUAGAGUGUGUAGAAUCUAAGAACUUAUAUUAUUAUAUACGUGUAUGGCUAAAUGAUUUCAAUAUUGCUUUGCCCAUGUUGUAGUAAAAAAAAUAUAAUUCUUGGUGUGGAUGAUGGGAUGAUCAAUUUUAUCAUUUUGUUAUUUAAGUUUUACCUAUAUAAAUCUCGAGAUAAAAAUAAUUCAUAUAUUUCCCUUUCAAUGUUUAAACACUUAAAAGAUAAAAAGUUAAAAGAUAUAAGAACAUUGAAAAGAAAGUGGCCCUAAAUAAAGACAAAUUAGAGAGCCACAAUAAAAAAUGGAGUAAACUAGAAGAUAUUUAGUUGUUUUUUUUUUUCAUAAAAGAUAUACGAACUCAAGGAAGCUGUUUACUGUUGUAUUUUGGAUUUUGUUGUUGUUGUUGUGGUCGUGAUUCGUAUAUGUAUACUAUCUGUAAUGUGUACUGUUUUUUGAUUAGGAAAGUUGUUACAUAUUUGCUUGUUGUGCCUUCCUCUUUUUUACUUAAACUAUUUUUAAUAAUAGANAGUGUAAAGUUCAUUUAUGUAUCGGAUUCUAGUAGUGUAUAACUAUUGUAUUGUAUCGAAAUUUGUUUGUGAAUAAAAAGUUUUGUUAUUUAAAAAAAAA
rnacentral:lncRNA from 1 species